ACUCCUACGGGAGGCAGCAGCGGGGAAUAUUGCACAAUGGGCGCAAGCCUGAUGCAGCGACGCCGCGUGAGGGAUGACGGCCUUCGGGUUGUAAACCUCUUUCAGUAGGGAAGAAGCGAAAGUGACGGUACCUGCAGAAGAAGCGCCGGCUAACUACGUGCCAGCAGCCGCGGUAAUACGUAGGGCGCAAGCGUUAUCCGGAA
rnacentral:rRNA from 1 species